UACGUAGGGUGCGAGCGUUAAUCGGAAUUACUGGGCGUAAAGCGUGCGCAGGCGGUUCGCUGUGUCCUGUGUGAAAGCCCCGGGCUUAACCUGGGAAUGGCAUGGGAAACUGGCGAGCUUGAGUGCGGCAGAGGGGGGUGGAAUUCCGCGUGUAGCAGUGAAAUGCGUAGAGAUGUGGAGGAACACCGAUGGCGAAGGCAGCCUCCUGGGCCAAUACUGACGCUCAUGCACGAAAGCGUGGGGAGCAAACAGG
rnacentral:rRNA from 1 species